rnacentral:rRNA from 1 species
GUAAGGUGAGAGGAAGGUGGGGAUGACGUCAAGUCCUCAUGGCCCUUAUGGUAGGGCUUCACACGUCAUACAAUGGUCGGUACAGAGGGUUGCCAAGCCGCGAGGCGGAGCCAAAUCCCACAAAGCCGAUCGUAGUCCGGAUUGUUCUCUGCAACUCGAGAGCAUGAAGUCGGAAUCGCUAGUAAUCGCAGGUCAGCAUACUGCGGUGAAUUACCGGUUCCCGGGUCUU